rnacentral:tRNA from 1 species
CAUAAAAGAUCUUGAUAAAGUUUUUCAUUUACAYUGAAAAGAUCUAUAUUAAAUUAUAGUUUUGUGA